rnacentral:rRNA from 1 species
AUCGUAACAAGGUUUCCGUAGGUGAACCUGCGGAAGGAUCAUUAAAUAAUUUAGAUGGCCUUUGCUAGUUUUCUAGCGAAUGGUUCAUUCUUUUUUACUGUGAACUGUUUUAAUUUUUCAGCGUCUGAGGAAUGUCUUUUAGCCAUAGGGAUAGGCUACUAGAAUGUUAACCGAGCUGAAAGUCAGGCUUAGGCCUGGUAUCCUAUUAAUUAUUUACCAAAAGAAUUCAGUAUUAUAAUUGUAACAUAAGCGUAAAAAACUUAUAAAACAACUUUUAACAACGGAUCUCUUGGUUCUCGCAUCGAUGAAGAACGUAGCAAAGUGCGAUAACUAGUGUGAAUUGCAUAUUCAGUGAAUCAUCGAGUCUUUGAACGCAACUUGCGCUCAAUGGUAUUCCAUUGAGCACGCCUGUUUCAGUAUCAAAAACACCCCACAUUCAUAAUUUUGUUGUGAAUGGAAUUGAGAGUUUCGGCUUUAUUGCUGAAUUCUUUAAAAUUAUUAGGCCUGAACUAUUGUUCUUUCUGCCUGAACAUUUUUUUAAUAUAAAGGAAUGCUCUAGUAAAAAGACUAUCUCUGGGGCCUCCCAAA